GAGUUUGAUCCUGGCUCAGGAUGAACGCUAGCGGCAGGCUUAAUACAUGCAAGUCGAGGGGCAGCACGGGUAGCAAUACCUGGUGGCGACCGGCAAACGGGUGCGGAACACGUACGCAACUUUCCCAAAACUGGUGAAUAGCCCUCCGAAAGGAGGAUUAAUACACCGUAACAUACUGAAGUGGCAUCACUUUAUUAUUAUAGCUCCGGCGGUUUUGGAUGGGCGUGCGCCUGAUUAGGUAGUUGGUAGGGUAACGGCCUACCAAGCCUUCGAUCAGUAACUGGUGUGAGAGCACGACCAGUCACACGGGCACUGAGACACGGGCCCGACUCCUACGGGAGGCAGCAGUAAGGAAUAUUGGUCAAUGGACGAAAGUCUGAACCAGCCAUGCCGCGUGAAGGAUGAAGGUCCUCUGGAUUGUAAACUUCUUUUAUCUGGGACGAAAAAGGGAAUUCUUUCUCACUUGACGGUACCAGAGGAAUAAGCACCGGCUAACUCCGUG
rnacentral:rRNA from 1 species